CAGAGAAUAGUUUAUUAAAAAUAUUAACUUUGGAAGUUAAAGAUGUUUGUUUUGAUUUCUUCUCUGA
rnacentral:tRNA from 1 species